rnacentral:rRNA from 1 species
GACGAACGCUGGCGGCGUGCUUAACACAUGCAAGUCGAACGGGCCUUGUCCCCUUUUUUUUUGGGGGUGGGGUUAGUGGCGAACGGGUGAGUAACACGUGAGUAACCUGCCCCUCACUUCUGGAUAACCGCUUGAAAGGGUGGCUACUACGGGGUGUUCUGGCCUGCUCGCAUGGGUGGGUUUGGAAAGAUUCGACCGGUUUGGUUGUUUUGGUGGGGGAUGGGCUCGCGGCCUAUCAGCUUGUUGGUGGGGUGAUGGCCCGCCAAGGCUUUGACGGGUAGCCGGCCUGAGAGUGUGGGCGGUCACACUGGGACUGAGACACGGCCCAGACUCCUACGGGAGGCAGCAGUGGGGAAUAUUGCACAAUGGGCGCAAGCCUGAUGCAGCGACGCCGCGUGAGGGAUGGAGGCCUUCGGGUUGUGAACCUCUUUCGCCAGUGAAGAAGGUCCUGCUCUUUGUGGUGGGGUUGACGGUAGCUGGGUUAAUGAAGCGCCGGCUAACUACGUG